GGCAACCUGUUCACAGUAAAUGAAGUAAGUGUUGUCAUUAUUUACAUUAAGACAUUUUUUGUAAAUUACAAUAAUUUCCUCUACAGUAGGCCUCUAUCUCUUCCAUCUUCCCUUUCCUUUUUUCCUCUCAGAUAAAAGCAUAAUUUAUGUGGAUAAAGACUGUGCCACUUCUGUCACCGUUCAUAGCAGCUGGACAGAUGCAAGUUGUGUGCGAAGACAUACACAUCAAACGAGACUGUGUCAUAAAGAGUCUGUGUGUGUAUCUCAAUGAGGACAUUACAACACUUGUCAAAGAAUUCCAGGACUGCAAUCCUGAAGGAGAUGAGGGAGGAAUUUCUGAGACCACUCUGGGCCUUUUUGUGACCCUUAAAGUGCUGAGUACUAGCCAGAUGAUGUUGAAGUAGCAACAGAGGGUGUAAAACUGCUACAACACUUAAGAGUUUUUCCUUUGGAUUAAUAAUGCUGUUCAGAUUGAUCUACGCACUCAAGCUACGCUCAGAGUCUCAAAUUCACAUUUUAAUUCUUCCAGAAGGUAAUGAUGAAUUUGGACUUUAGGACAUCACAUAGAUGUUUCCAUCCCCUGGAAGGACAUUGAAAACUUUUAAACUUGUUCUGUAAUGUUGAAUUGAAGACAGUAUGAUCAAUGACACUAUGAACCGAUGACACUAACUCAAAUCAAGAGACUGCACCUAAUGCACCUUCUGGCUUCCUCUCUGAUACAUUUAAACACAUUUAAUUUUUUGUUCACCAAAACAUGAACAUUCUGUCAUUUAUUACUCACCCUCAUGUCGUUCCACACCCGUAAGACCUUCGUUCAUCUUCAGAACACAAAUUAGGAUAUUUUUGAUGAAAUCCAUGAGCUAUCUGGCCUCCGAUAGACUGCAACACAACUAUCACUUUCAAGGUCCAGAAAGGUAGUAAAGACAUCAUUAAAAUAGUCAACAUGACUGCAGUGGUUCAACCUUAAUAGUAUGAAGCGACGAGAAUACUUUUUGUGCGCAAAACAAAAAAACAAAAACAAAAAAAAUGACUUUAUUCAAAAAUGUCUUCCCUUUUAUGUCAGUUUCCUACGCAGUUGAUGUUGUACACACAAAAUAUCUUAAUUUGUGUUUUGAAGUUGAACGAAGGUCUUAGGGGUUUGGAGGUUUGGGGUUUGGUUUGUCCAGGAAGUUAACUUGUGAGUAGCACACUUGGGCUACUGAAUGCCUAAAUGCUGAAAUUUGGCGGACAACAGAAACCCUGUUAUAUGUAAAGUAAAUUAUAAUCCUUCAGAUUGCUUUCCUUUUUUUCCCCCAAGUGUCCUGAUUGUUUAUUUGUUUGAACAAAUGUUUACAAGGAAUGUAACCAUUUACAGAUCUGUAUCAAGUUUUAGAUAAGUGAAAGCACAAACUGAUGACAAUACUAUGCAGUGAGAUCCCAAUAUUACCUUGAAAUUGUGAAAAUAAUGUUUGAUGUUGAAAUUUGGUUCCAUGUUGAUCUAUGAACUUGUUGGCACACAGCCAUAACCAUUGUGUUAGUUUGGGAGAAGGCACAAAACUGCAGUAAACAGUUGCCUUAAUUUGUGAAAUACUGCAUUAUGUUCUAUUUUUUUGUCAGAUUGGAUGUUUCUUAUUAUUCCUGGAGCAAUUGUGACAAUAAAUGUUUAUAAAUGUAA